CAAGCCCACUCGAAAUUACCCAAGGUAAUUCUAUAAAAAGCCCUCUCUACUUUGGUUUCUCCUCCAUUUGCAACAUCAAAGAAAAAAAAAAGAGAUUAAAGAGUUUGAAAGAGAGUGAGCUAAGGGAGAAGUGUGAUCAUUUUGUAGAGAGAGGUUCGCCGGAGCUUAACGCCGGAGCCACCACGUCCAGUGACCGCGUUCAGUUCGCCACCACCGAUCAUCCCCUUAGACCACCAUCGCGUUCCUCUCGACGAGACGAAGCCAUAGCCACCGAAAUCGUCGAAAUCGGAGCUCAGACGAAGCCGUACGCGCCUCCGGAAGAUCAGCCCGCGCGCGCGCGUGAAACGCACGCGCCGCCGCCUCCGCCGCCGCGUCGCCGCCGCACCUCCGCCGCCGCCGGUGACUUUUCCGAUUUGGAGUCUAUUUGAGCAGCUGGAGUUCAUAGACAUCACUUCUCUUCAUUACUAAGGUGAGACCGAUGAGCAGGAGUGAUCAUAUCGGACUGGUGCUACUAUUUGGGCUCGUGGGCUUUAUCGUUUUAUCAUUUUAUCUUUUAUCGUUAUUGGGCCUUCAGGCCUUUGGACUUCUCGUUUAUGAUAUUUCUUAUUUCAGCCUCCGGGCUUACGUUGUCAUCGAUAUUUCGGAUGUUUAUUUUCGGGCUUGACUUUAUGGUAUUGUAUUUGACUUUAUGAUAUGACGUGGAGUUUAUUAUCCGUAUUAUUAUUAUUUCCG